UACGUAGGGGGCGAGCGUUGUCCGGAAUCAUUGGGCGUAAAGCGCGUGUAGGCGGUCCGGUAAGUCCGCUGUGAAAGUCGGGGGCUCAACCCUCGGAUGCCGGUGGAUACUGUCGGGCUUGAGUACGGAAGAGGCGAGUGGAAUUCCUGGUGUAGCGGUGAAAUGCGCAGAUAUCAGGAGGAACACCGAUGGCGAAGGCAGCUCGCUGGGACGUGACUGACGCUGAGACGCGAAAGCGUGGGGAGCAAACAGG
rnacentral:rRNA from 1 species